AGCAGCUGGAGGAGGAGCUGCAGGAACUCAGAUCUGUGUCAGUGUCUCUCCACCAGCAGCUCAGUCAGCAGCAGGAGCAGCUGUCACAGGUGGAGGUGGACAGAUGUCAGCUGAACACACACAUCCACACUGUGCAGCAGGCAAAACACACCUUACAAGGAGAGAUCGAGUGUCUGAGAGGAGAGCUGGAGCAAACGACGGCCAGGAGAGAGAGGAAC